ensembl:lncRNA
GGAAUAUCAGCCCAAGCAAGGAUAUCAGCCGAAGAAACAAAAUGGCAAGCUUCAGAAUUUUGCUUCCUCUGCUCCUUCUGGGGCUGAUGGAGGUUAAAGCUACUGAAGUCCGAGGGCUUUCCUAUUACGAUGCCCUAACAAUUGCUAUGAGCCAUUUCAAUAGCAAAUGUGAUGAGAAAAAUGCCUACUGGAUAACUGCAACUAGACCCCAACUUAAGUGGGAUAGAAAAUCCAAAGAACUCCACCGUAUGGGUUUUACUAUACAAGAAACUGAAUGCCUGAAAGGAGAAACCCGCACUCCUAGCAAAUGUGCCUUCAAAAAAGACGGGGAAGAGAAGUAUUGUCGGGCAGCAGUCAAAUUCAUCUGUGACGGUGAAGCUGAUGUUUGGGUCCGCUGUUCUCCCAUGGCGAGUAACACGAUUGUCAGAAGAAGCAAAAGAGGAAUUAAAGUUCCUGGUUUCGUGAAAAAGUUCCUCAAAGAUGUUGUUAGUGAGACCAUUUCCCAUAGUAUUCCUAAAGCCAUUUCAGCAGUGAAUAAACUUAUUAAAAAAAAGAAAAAAGGUGCUACAACACCACGUGUGAAGUAAGAAGACCUGAGCUCAGACACUAGCUAUGCAAUCCUGGAUAAAUGUCUUAAUCUCUUCUACCUUGGUUUCCUUGAAUGUAAAAUAGGAAUAAUAACAGCACCUACCUCCCAGGGUUUUUGUGAGGAGCAAGAGAUAACAACUGUAAAGUAAUGCCAUAUAGUUGGUGCUUAUUUAAUACUUGUACCCUUAAUUUCCCUCAUGUGUAAAUAAAGACUUCUUUUUAUAAUCCA